rnacentral:lncRNA from 1 species
CUGUUGGGCUGCUGUCUAUGGGGUCGCACAGAGUCAGACACGACUGAAGUGACUUAACCUUACUUUACCUUACCUUAUGGCCACUCACAGUUCUUCCUGGGGAGAAGUGGAGUCUAUUUCCUCCCUAUUGUCUGGGGGACUUGCUUUGACCAAGACAAUAUGGCAGAAGUGACACCAUGCCACUUCUGGGCCUGGAAGCUUCUGCUUUCACUGUCUCAGAAUCCAGCCACCACGUAGUAAGGAAAUCCAGGCUGCCCUGGGGGAAGAAGAAACCAGGGGGUGAGAAAAGUCAUGUGGAGGAUGAAAGGCUAUGCGACACCCCCUUCUAGGUCCUUCAGGCCACAAGCUGAACGCAGCUGCCUGCAUGUCCCGUCCAUUCCCUGUCUUGUCGGCACCGGGUACUUCUCUUGUCUGGUCCACAUCAGCUGUGUCCAGCCUACCAGAGGAGCAAGAAGAAUCACAAAACCACUGUUAUUUUAAGCCCCAACUUUUGGGAUAGUCUGUUACAUAACAAAAGACAACAGAAAUAGAUCCAUUUGCUUUUUGUCUUCUCUCAAACCUCAAUUUUGACCACAGUGUCUGCAAAGAUAUACAGCCCCAUCAAAUAGCAGAAAGAAAACUGAUUUAUUCUGGGCCAACCAUGAAUAUCCAGUGAAUCCUUAUUUUCCCCACCAGGUCACUUUGUUUAGUAUCAAAGAUGCCUCAGAAGAGCGCCUGUGGGUCUCUUCCGCCUCUCCGUUCCUUCUCCCGACUCACUCCGCCUCAAAUUCUGGGAUCUUUUUACGCCCACCUUCCCCUGGGAUCCUGCCCCAAUUUUGGAGAAAACAUACAAGGCCUAUGAGUUGCCGACUGUUUUCUAGAAUAUUCUUAACAUUGUGUUCUAAGCAAAGGUGUUACGUCUUACAGAUUUUUCAGAGGCUACAAGGAAGAAUGAGGGACAGCCCGGCAACAUGUUUGUCACUAUGCCCUUCCCCCAGGAACUGCACGCUCCUGGAAUGUGACCACUUUUCAGAGAUGCCGCCGAUCGGAGUUGAGAGCUGGAGCUCAGAGAUGGGUAGGCUGCUAGUCCCCAGGACAAGCUUCAUUGUUUCCCUGCCCAGCUCAGACUCGCUUCCCAGCCUGGGGGUCCCUGCCUGCUAUGAUGUUUUAUUGGACUCAUCAAUGAGUGAAUGAACUUCAUGAGAGAAUGGUGGGAUGGUUGAGUAAAUGAAUGAAAAGGUAAACGAAUGAGUGGAGAUCCAGUGACUGCUACUAUAUCCAGUUUAGCCACCAGGCCAACAGAUCCUGUCCCAUUCCAUAGCUUAGAUCCAGACACAUGAUGGCUGCAACCUCUGCCUCUUUGAGGGGCCACGGGACCAUCUCACGCUGUGCAGAAAAGCAAGUCUCCUAGACACUUUCUCCUCUUCCCACCCAAGGCUGUAUCAUGAAGAUUAGGAUUAUUAAACUGUAAGCCACCAAAAAUCCAAAAUAAAAGUGGGUUACAGCAGAGAGUUUAUUUCCUA